GCCGGGGUCGCCUAGCCCGGGAGGGCGCAAGCCUGGAAACAGCUUGUGACCCGUAAGGGUCCCGAGGGUUCAAAUCCCUCUCCCGGCGCCA
rnacentral:tRNA from 1 species